rnacentral:rRNA from 1 species
GAUCAUGGCUCAGGACGAACGCUGGCGGCGCGCCUAACACAUGCAAGUCGAACGGAGUUAAGAGGAGCUUGCUUUUCUUAACUUAGUGGCGAACGGGUGAGUAACGCGUGAGUAACCUGCCCUGGAGUGGGGGACAACAGUUGGAAACGACUGCUAAUACCGCAUAACGCCCACGGAUCCGCAUGGAUCUGCGGGAAAAGGAUUUAUUCGCUUCAGGAUGGACUCGCGUCCAAUUAGCUAGUUGGUG